UAUGUGGUGAAGUCUUUCAAUCGUUAUGUGCGAGGAAAAAAGAUCUCUUCCCAAACCACCUACAUCCCUCUAGAUGAUCCUCCUGCUUCUGAGCCUGCUCCUGUCCCCAGUCCUCCACAUGAAGCCCAGGUGGACCAAACUGUGAAGCCCACCCCUGCAAGAAAAGGAUAGGCUUGUCCAGUUGACCUUCUGUGGCUUUGGACUCAUCCACAUGGAUAUCUGGGCUCUUGUUGCAUUGUGGC